GUUUAGAUAGCUUAUGAUUAGAGCGUAGCACUGAAGAUGCUGAGGAGAUAUAUUUAUCUUUAAACA
rnacentral:tRNA from 1 species